rnacentral:rRNA from 1 species
AUUGAACGCUGGCGGCAGGCCUAACACAUGCAAGUCGAACGAGUGGCGGACGGGUGAGUAAUGUCUGGGAAUCUCGCUUUUGGAGGGGGAUAACUACGGGCAACUGUAGCUAAUACCGCGUACCAUAGGUUGUGCCCAAGGGGGAUUAGGUAGUUGGUGAGGUAAAGGCUCACCAAGCCGACGAUCCCUAGCUGGUCUGAGAGGAUGACCAGCCCCACGGGAACUGAGACACGGCCCAGACGCCUCCGGGAGGCAGCAGUGGGGAAUAUUGCGCAAUGGGGGCAACCUGACGCAGCCAUGCCGCGUGGAUGAAGAAGGCCUUCGGGUUGUAAAGUACUUUCGGAGGCGAGGCGUUAACUACAGAAGAAGCACCGGCUAACUCCGUGCCAGCCGCCGCGGUAAUUC